rnacentral:rRNA from 1 species
UGGGUAACCUGCCUCAAAGAGGGGAAUAGCCUCCCGAAAGGGAGAUUAAUACCGCAUAAUAUGUUUUAGUCGCAUGACUUAAACAUCAAAGGAUUUUCUUUUAGAAAUUCCACUUUGAGAUGGAUCCGCGGCGCAUUAGCUAGUUGGUGAGGUAACGGCUCACCAAGGCAACGAUGCGUAGCCGACCUGAGAGGGUGAUCUGCCACAUUGGAACUGAGACACGGUCCAGAUCCGUACGGGG